AUGGUCUACAUAGCCCUCCUCGGCAUCGGCAAGGGCGUGUGCAGCGCGUCGCCGCGGCAGCCACGAGACUGUCCUGAUAAGUGUGGGGACGUAACAGUCCCCUACCCAUUCGGCAUCGGCUCCGAAUGUUCGCUGCCCAACUUCCACCUCAACUGCAGCGAGGGGAUACUGCUCACAGUCACAGGCAACGUCCGGAUCGACAACAUCACGCUGGAGACGGCGCAGAUGGUCGCCUAUACCCAGUUAACAUACGUCUGCGACAUGGCAGAGGAGAGUACACAGCGCAUGUCCGUCAACUUGGCAGGUAGCCCAUUCCUGCUGUCGCCGGUGGCCAACGUCUUCACAGCAGUCGGCUGCAGCCAAGGUUUUGGUUACCGAAUGAGCUCGGUGGCGAGGAUCAGUGGCAGCAGUACUGGCGGUCGGUACCUUGCUGGGUGCAUCACAACCUGCGCCAGCGUGAACCAAUCCGCGGAAGACGGCGCGCCGUGCAGUGGCCAAGGCUGCUGCGAGGCCUCGCUUCCGACCGGCCUCAACUAUGUUUCUGUGUUCUGGAACAAGAACAACAGUCCGGACAAGCCGUCCAACAGAUGUGAGUAUGCCUUCGUGGCCCAGAAAGGCAGGUACAAUUUUAGCCGAGCAGACCUCGUUGGGGAGACUUUAGCCCAAAAAUAUGGCAAUACAAAGGUCUUCCCACUUGUUCUUGAUUGGGCUAUUGGUAGGAACGAGAAAGUGACAUGUCCACCGCCACUGAAGGAUGGCGACAAUGAAAAGUUGUACUUCCCCUAUGGAGUAUGCAUUAGCACUCACAGCCAUUGUGUUAAUGCAAGUAAUGUCACACCAGGCUAUUUCUGCAGAUGUAACAAGGGAUAUGCCGGAAAUCCUUACAAAGAAAACGGUUGCACAGAUAUCAAUGAGUGUGAUUUGACAAAGUACAAAGACGUCUAUCGUUGCCAUGGUGGGACAUGCCAUGAUUCAGAAGGUAACUAUGAAUGCAAUUGCAAUUUUGGACGAAGAGGUGACGGUAAAAGCGACAAAGGCUGUGAACCUGUAUUAUCCCCGGCUGCAAUUGCAGUGAUAGGAACAAUUAGUGCCAUGUCCAUAUCAGCAGUACUCCUGAUAUUCUUUCACAUGGAGCAUGAGAAAAGGAAGCUUAGGGAUCAUUUCAACAAGAAUGGUGGAAAAUUACUAAAAAGCAUCAAAAUCAAGAUUUUCAGAAAGGAGGAUCUAGACAAAAUAACCAAGAACUAUAGUACUAUAAUAGGCAAAGGUGCUUUCGGUGAGGUCUACAAGGGAACUACGUGUGAAUACAUACAAGUUGCUGUCAAACGCUCCAUUGCAAUCAACAAGGACCGCCAAAAGGAUUUUGCUAAUGAGAUACAAAUUCAGUCGCAAAUAAGUCAUAAGUAUGUGGUCCAACUGUUGGGGUGUUGCUUGGAAGCAGAAGUUCCUAUGUUGGUCUACGAGUUCGUGCCAAGGGGUAGCCUCUAUGACGUUCUUCAUGGCAAGAAUGGCAAUAUGCGAAGAGAACCUAUCUCCCUACGAGCACGCCUCGACAUUGCCAUUUGCUCUGCUGAUGCCCUUGCAUACAUGCAUUCGCAGGCGAGCCAGAAGAUCCUACAUGGAGAUGUCAAAUCCGGAAACAUCCUCCUUGAUGAUGAGUUCAUGCCUAAGGUGUCGGACUUCGGUACGUCGAGGCUUAUGUCCAUUGAAAAGGACCACACCAAUUGGGUGAUCGGGGACAGUAGCUACAUUGACCCCGUGCAUAUGAAGACUGGACUCCUCACAGAGAAAAGCGAUGUGUACAGCUUCGGGAUCGUGCUACUGGAGCUCAUUACCCGGAAGAAGGCAAGGUAUGAUAGGAACAACAGUCUUCCACUAAACUAUAUCAAGGCUUUUACGGAAGGGGCUACAGGGCAGAUGUAUGAUAUCGAGAUUCUGUCCAGCGGGGAGGAUGUAAAGUGCCUCGGCGAGGUUGGACUGAUUGCGAUGCAAUGCCUCGAAGUUGAUGUGGAUGACAGACCGACGAUGACCGAAGUCGCAGAGAAGAUUAAAAGGUGUAAGAGUCGGUGGCUGCAAAGCCAUUGGCAUGGGAAGACCAAAGCAUUGUGA
rnacentral:rRNA from 1 species